UUUCGGUCACAGCACGAUGAAACACCAGUCCCCGUACGAUCACCGAAGUUAAGCAACGUCAAGUCUGGUUAGUAACUAGAUGGGCGACCACAUAGGAGUUCAGGU